GGGUGUGAAGGUGAUCUGGCUGUGAUAUCCAUCACUCCAUUGAUCGCCAGGGUUGAUUUUGCUGAUCUGGCCGGCUAGGCGGGUGUUCCUUCCUCCAUCAUUUCUCCAUGAGCAUCUCUCCUGAAGGUGUGCACUCUGUCAAAGAGGAGCAGAUAGAGGACGGCUGUUCUUUGGGCAAGGGUGUACAAGCAGCUGCACCCCCCUGCUAAGAUCUGCAAACAAGCAUGCAAGGCCCAGAAGAACAAUGGGGCCUGUCUUUCAAACAGCCAGUGCUUGUUGCCCAAAGUGGCAAGACUCU
ensembl:misc_RNA 7SK 7SK RNA